AGAGUUUGAUCCUGGCUCAGAUUGAACGCUGGCGGCAUGCUUUACACAUGCAAGUCGAACGGCAGCACGAGUGCUUGCACUUGGUGGCGAGUGGCGAACGGGUGAGUAAUACAUCGGAACGUGUCCUAAAGUGGGGGAUAACGCAUCGAAAGAUGUGCUAAUACCGCAUAAUCUCUCAGGAGGAAAGCAGGGGAUCGAAAGACCUUGCGCUUUUGGAGCGGCCGAUGUCUGAUUAGCUAGUUGGUAGGGUAAUGGCUUACCAAGGCGACGAUCAGUAGUUGGUCUGAGAGGAUGGCCAACCACACUGGGACUGAGACACGGCCCAGACUCCUACGGGAGGCAGCAGUGGGGAAUUUUGGACAAUGGGGGAAACCCUGAUCCAGCAAUGCCGCGUGAGUGAAGAAGGCCUUCGGGUUGUAAAGCUCUUUCAGUUGAGAAGAAAAAGUUGUGACUAAUAAUCAUAAUUCAUGACGGUAUCGACAGAAGAAGCACCGGCUAACUACGUGCCAGCAGCCGCGGUAAUACGUAGGGUGCGAGCGUUAAUCGGAAUUACUGGGCGUAAAGGGUGCGCAGGCGGUUAUGUAAGUCAGAUGUGAAAUCCCCGGGC
rnacentral:rRNA from 1 species